AACCACGAGGCCCUAGAAGAGUUCAAGAAGUUCGCACAACAGAAAGGCUUCCCACCAGAAAACAUCAUAGUUCCUGAGCAGAGAGAAAUGUGUGUCCCUAAAAACCACAAUGCUGUCCCUUGGAACUGCAAAUCUUGAGUCAACUCUGCACCAGU